AUUGAUAACCUACCUUUGAGACGGGGAUAACAACGUUCCGCAAGGGACUCCCGAAAGGGUUGCUAAUACCCGAUAAAACUCAUGGUGCUUCGGUAUCGGGAGUCAAAGGUUUGGGGCUGAAAGGUUCCAUAUGCUCAGAGAGGGGUCAAUGUCCUAUCAGCUAGUUGGCAGGGUAAAGGCCUACCAAGGCGAAGACGGGUAGCCGGCCUGAGAGGGUGGUCGGCCACAUUGGGACUGAGACACUGCCCGGACUCCUACGGGAGGCUGCAGUCGAGAAUCUUUCGCAAUGCCCGGAAGGGUGACGAAGCGACGCCGCGUGUGGGAAGAAGGCCUUCGGGUUGUAAACCACUGUCGGGAGUUAAGAAGUGUAAGGGGGUGAAUAGCCCUCUUACUUGACGUUAGCUCCGGAGGAAGCCACGGCUAACUCUGUGCCAGCAGCCGCGGUAAUACAGAGGUGGCAAGCGUUGUUCGGAAUUAUUGGGCGUAAAGAGCACGUAGGCGGCCCUACAAGUCAGCUGUGAAAUCCUUCUGCUCAACGGAAGAACGGCAGUUGAUACUAUAGGGCUGGAGUGCGGG
rnacentral:rRNA from 1 species